ACCUACUAGGCUCUAGUCGGGACCCAUUUGAUUCGGGGAAACCUACAUGAACUGACUUCUCGGAAUCUUGCACAGAGUCUGUGAUCUAACCCGACACUGAGCCACCAUGGCGUAGCGGGCCUGGCAAGUCCGGAGGCAGAAGGGAUUCUGCACGACCUGGUUGAGAAGGUGGUUCCUGCAGAUGGAUCCACGUAGGAGUUCGAGGAAUCCGGCUGCCCGCAGCACAUUGUCGUGGCUCAAGUCUUAGGCGCUUUAGCUGCGGCCUAAGGGACCAGUUCU